UGGGGAAUAUUGCGCAAUGGGCGAAAGCCUGACGCAGCGACGCCGCGUGAGGGAUGAAGGUUUUCGGAUCGUAAACCUCUGUCAGAAGGGAAGAAAGUGCGUGGUGCUAAUCAGCCGCGUAUUGACGGUACCUUCAAAGGAAGCACCGGCUAACUCCGUGCC
rnacentral:rRNA from 1 species